rnacentral:rRNA from 1 species
GGGAUCUCUGGCCCCAGGGUGCGUCGCAGCCCCGGACCAAGGCGCCCGCCGGAGGACCAACCAAAACUCUUUUUGUAUACCCCCUCGCGGGUUUUUUAUAAUCUGAGCCUUCUCGGCGCCUCUCGUAGGCGUUUCGAAAAUGAAUCAAAACUUUCAACAACGGAUCUCUUGGUUCUGGCAUCGAUGAAGAACGCAGCGAAAUGCGAUAAGUAAUGUGAAUUGCAGAAUUCAGUGAAUCAUCGAAUCUUUGAACGCACAUUGCGCCCGCCAGUAUUCUGGCGGGCAUGCCUGUCCGAGCGUCAUUUCAACCCUCGAACCCCUCCGGGGGGUCGGCGUUGGGGAUCGGCCCUCCCUUAGCGGGUGGCCGUCUCCUAAAUACAGUGGCGGUCUCGCCGCAGCCUCUCCUGCGCAGUAGGUUGCACACUCGCAUCGGGAGCGCGGCGCGUCCACAGCCGUUAACACCCAACUUCUGAAAUGUUGACCUCGGAUCAGGUAGGAAUACCCGCUGAACUUA